GAUGACUGUAGGUGAAAGCUUACAUCUCUUCGGAGCAUUUUACGAGGUGCUGCAUGGUGUCGUCAGCUCGUGCCGUGAGGUGUCGGUUAAGUCCCAUAACGAGCGCAACCCUACCUUUAGUUGCCAUCAGGUAAUGCUGGGGACUCUAAAGGAACUGCCUACGCAAGUAGUGAGGAAGCGGGGAUGACGUCAAAUCAGCACGGCCCUUACGUCCAGGGCUACACACGUGCUACAAUGGCCGAUACAGAGGGCAGCUACCUGGUGACAGGAUGCAAAUCUCCAAAGUCGGUCUCAGUUCGGAUCGGAGUCUGCAACCCGACUCCGUGAAGUUGGAUUCGCUAGUAAUCGCGCAUCAGCCAUGGCGCGGUGAAUACGUUCCCGGGCCUU
rnacentral:rRNA from 1 species